GAAAUGCGAUAAUUAAUGUGAAUUGCAGAAUUCAGUGAAUCAUCGAGUCUUUGAACGCACAUUGCGCCCCCUGGUAUUCCGGGGGGCAUGCCUGUCCGAGCGUCAUUGCUGCCCUCAAGCACGGCUUGUGUGUUGGGCUUCCGUCCCUGGCAACGGGGACGGGCCCAAAAGGCAGUGGCGGCACCAUGUCUGGUCCACGAGCGUAUGGGGCUUUGUCACCCGCUCCCGUAGGUCCAGCUGGCAGCUAGCCUCGCAACCAAUCUUUUUAACCAGGUUGACCUCGGAUCAGGUAGGGAUACCCGCUGAACUUAAGC
rnacentral:misc_RNA from 1 species